UUUUUUUUUUUUUUUAAAUCAGGAAUCAUGUCUGAAAGCUGCCACAACCAGUUGUAUAGGCAUGUCAAAAUGACUUUAUACAGUCAAUAUGAAACAAGCAUUAAAUAUUUUUUCUCAUGUUGUUGCUUUUAUCAUUAUGAAUUCCUUGCUUGUUGCCACCUAAGAUACGAUGGAGCAAGCACAGUCUUAAAGAAGAUUUGCUGAUUUUUUGUUUUUCUCAGCAGACCAGAGACAUCCAUAAAAAUUCAUCAGAGAGCAUUUUACUACUGAGCUGCAAAGGUUACUACCUUUCUGCUUGUAGAAGAAUCCAAGUAGUUGGGUCUUUUUUUUUUUGGUUUAUAAUGAACAGGCAUUUGAACUGGGCAAACAGGACGACAGCAGCAGUGAGCAUGAGAUCAUUGCAUUGCAGCACUGUAGCAAACUGGCACCCUGCCUUUGCACCCCUUUGGUUCAGGAGACAAACGUGUGUAAUCCUCAUUUCUAAAGUCAGCACAGCCUGGAAGGAUUCCUGGUCUCUCCCACCUUCUACCAUUCUGCUGCCAGUGACGGCAAGGAUUGGUGUAGCUUCUGCGCAGUGCUUUGUGCCUGGAAUACCGAGAAGGAAGAAAAAGAAGACAAGCACCCUGGUCCUUUUCUAAGAAAUUACAGGCGCCCUUGAAGAAAAAAUCUGAGUGUGUCCUACUACAUGCAAGAGUGCUGGAAAAAAAAAAAAAAAAAAAAAAAAAA
rnacentral:lncRNA from 1 species